rnacentral:lncRNA from 1 species
AGAAGAGAGGCGACCCAAGGUCCUGAGCUGCAUCUGCCCUGCGGAGGUCUGGGAGGGAGGGGCAGGCAGAGGAGGCUGAGGGGUGUCAGCAGUGAGGAAGGGGGACCUGGACUAGAGAAGGGGCCCUGGGGGAUGGAGAAGAUGGGUUUGAAGGAUGAAGGGGUGAUUCCACAGCUCAAGCAGGAUGAGGCCUGAGAUCGAUCCCAGUCCGUUGAAUGUUUCCUUCUUGACAGGAGCAGUGCUGGGGUCAGUAGGUGAGAGCCCGGGGGAACUGAAGCAGUCGUGAGGGGCACAGGUGUGGACAGUGAGUUCAACGACUCGCUCAGGAGCUCUGUGUGAGGGGAGAGAGACAGGGCAGAGCAGCUGGAGAGGAAGGUGGGAUUACCUUUGGGGUUUUUUUUCAAGAAGGAAAUUACAGCAUGAGUGUGCAUCGACAGGAAUGAUCUAGAUAGAACGACCAGCCAUCCUGGUUUACAUGGGACGCGGGAACUGCCGUUUUAAAAAGGUCUCACCAUGUAUAGCACUGCCUUGCUUGAGCAAGGAAGUUUCUGUCAACGGCAAGCUUUAUGUGCUCUAUCGUUUUUAUUAAAGUAUUUCAGUCAAUAGUGACCCAUUGUAGAAUGGCUGCAGGAGUCACAUGUGCAAGUGCUUUGUGACCUAGCACAAUUUGGUUUUGGCCAAGCAGCAGAGCAGACCUCAGGACCUAAGGAGGAUGGUUGUGAUUAGGUCAAUAGAAAACUAGCAGGCCAUUGCUGACAAUUUUUACUAUAUAAUUAGAGGACUUCCUAAAAUGCUUUAAAAAAAAAUGUGUAUGGAUGGAAAAUACAAGGGAAUUUUUCAAAUACUCAAUUUUUAUUGGUAGUAGUUAUCAAGAA